GGAGGUGGCAAGCGUUACUCGGAAUCAUUGGGUGUGAAGGGCAAGUAGGCGGUCCAAUAAGUGAGGGGUGAAAUCCUGCGACUCAAUCGCAGAACUGCCUUUCAAACUGUCGGACUUGAGGUAAGAAGAGGAAAAUGGAAUUCUAGGUGUAAGGGUGAAAUCUGUAGAUAUCUAGAAGAACACCAACGGCGAAGGCAAUUUUCUACUCUUAUCCUGACGCUAAAUUGCGAAAGCUAGGGGAGCAAACAGAAUUAGAUACUCUGGUAGUCCUAGCCGUAAACGAUGAGCACUAGGUGUUGGUCCCUUUGGGGCCAGUGCCGCAGCUAACGCAUUAAGUGCUCCACCUGGGGACUACGGUCGCAAGGCUA
rnacentral:rRNA from 1 species